rnacentral:rRNA from 1 species
AGCCUAUUGAUAUUUCAAUAAUAGGUAUUUAUCCUGCCCAGUGAUAAUUAAACGGCCGCGGUAUCCUGACCGUGCAAAGGUAGCAUAAUCAUUUGCCUUCUAAUUAAAGGCUAGUAUGAACGGAAAACCGAAAACUCCCCUGUCUCUUUUUUAACCUUAAAAAUUAACCUUCAGGUGAAGAGGCCUGAAUUCUAUUAAAAGACAAGAAGACCCUGUCGAGCUUGAUUUUAAACCUAUAUAAUUCCACUUUUACCUAAUAUAAAAAUUUUGUUGGGGCGACAAAGGAGUAAACAAAACCUCCUUAACACCUUAGACCUAUAGUCCCUCUAUAGACCCAUUUUAUGCUCUCCUACACUAGCUACCGCAGGGAUAACAGACUAAUUUUUCUCAAGAGCCCAUAUCUACAGAAAAGUUUAGCACCUCGAUGUUGGCUUAAGAACUCUUUUAAGUGCAGCCGCUUACAAAAGAAGGUUUGUUCAACCUUUAAAUU